rnacentral:rRNA from 1 species
UACAGAGGGGGCAAGCGUUAUUCGGAAUUAUUGGGCGUAAAGGGCGCGUAGGCGGCGAUUCAAGUGGCGGGUGAAAUCCCCCGGCUUAACCUGGGAACUGCGUCUGAUACUGGGAGGCUUGAGUAUGGGAGAGGGAUGUAGAAUUCCAGGUGUAGCGGUGAAAUGCGUAGAUAUCUGGAGGAAUACCGGUGGCGAAGGCGGCAUCCUGGACCAUUACUGACGCUUAAGCGCGAAAGCUAGGGGAGCAAACGGG